rnacentral:misc_RNA from 1 species
AAUUCUCAACUCUCCUCAGAUUCCCAUCUGUAGGUGAGCUUGGAUUUGGAGGCUUCUUGCCGGCGUUGGCUGGCUCCUCUUGAAAUCAUUAGCUGCGAGUUGAUCUCGAUAGCUUGACCGGUGUGAUAAACAUCUACGCCGCUUCAUGCUGUCCUGAGCGACCGUCGUCGGAGACGCUCUAGCUUAUAGCCGUCUUCACCAGAGGACAACGUCCUGAAC